rnacentral:lncRNA from 1 species
UAGGUAGGGGUGACAAUCUCGCUCGCUAGCUAUUCGCGAGUUAGCUCGUGUUCGGCUCGAAAUGAGCUCUAGAUCGAAUCGCUCGUUUAAUAAACAAACCAAACACGAGUCGAAUUUUUCAGCUCGCUCAUGUUCGGCUCGAUAACAGCUCGAAUAUAUAUAUUUUAUAUUUAUAUAUAUAUAAAUAAAUAAUUAUAUAUAUAUAAUAUAAAUUUUUAUUAUUUGGUUUUUAUCUUAACUUAAAUAUAAAGUCUAACUCAAUUAUAAAAAGAUCAUUUAUAUAUAAAAUUUUAACUAUUAGAUUAAAGUCAAAUGGAUAAAAUUUUAUAAAUUUAUUUUCUGUAUGCAUCUUUCAUAAUUUUUUUAAUUUAUUGUUCAUAAGUUUACUUGUAUUUGGCUCGUGUUCGGCUCAUUAAUAAAUAAAACACGAGCUGAAUUUUUUGGCUUAAUACUUUAACGAGACAGCUGGUGUUCGGCUCGAGCCCGUCGCCCGUCGGCGACA